AAAAUAGAUUUUUAAACUCCCCUCUGAAAAGAAAAAGCCAGUUACAGAGAACUCCCCCGUACUCCCUCCGCCCCCAAUCGGGAGAACAGUUGACGUCAAAGCGUUCGCGGAGUAAAGGAGCUUUGCUCCCCGCAUUUCAUAGCUCUCGAGACAUAAAAUGAAAAUAGGAAUCGCAUCGACCCGACUGACACUUCAUCGGCUGUUCGUUCAACCUAAUUAGCCCCCCAGGGUGGGGGAUUGAAUAAAAUUGUCGAAAAGCGACACUCGAAAUUAAUGGUCGACGCCCGACACCGACGGACGGGGCUGAGAAUAAUUUGAAUUAACCCUCGAACGCGCAUAAAUGCCUUUUAACGAGCACUUUGGCCACUCGAAGGACGAGGCCUGGCUACGGGAAAUUGCGUUGGAUUUAUUCAAUCGUGAAACCGACGAGACUGUUCUCCGUGCAGUUGUGCAAGGAUAUUCGAAGAAGCGAAAGGAAGGUAAUCGGCUUGUCCGACGACGAAAGUCGUCGUUUUCACGGCGAAGAAGUGAUCAACGCGACGGAUAUUCCGUUGUGCCGGGUGCCUAGCGACUUUAUAGCUAGCCACGAGGAAUAGGGAUAGUAGUGACACAGGACCAGGGGAAGUUUUGACGGUAUUGAUUUCCCCAAGCCCCGGGACCUCGUACCAUCUGCAACUCAAACAGCUUGCCUCGUUCUCCGUGCAGUUUGCGACUUUACUAUCCUUCGAUGGAGCGGUAAACCCGGAACGACAGUUUUGCCGGAACAUCGACGGGAGACGAUCCUAUAAAACCGAAGCUCGAAAUUGUUUUGAGACUUGGUGGAAUCAAAAUAAAGCCAUUCCGAUAUAUUCAGACCUGUACCGCCUACUAAAAAUCGGCAUGGACUUUCCAGACAGCCCAAUACAUAAAGGACUCCUAAAAAUGUGUUUUCAUCUAAAUUUCGAGACAUUAUUGAUUCCCAGCAGCGACAUGUCGAUUCCGUAAUAAUAGACUGAUUUAAACGAUGUUACCAUCAAUCCGAGCUGGAGGAUCGUUAUUAAAUGAGCUUGGGAUAAAACACGGUAAUCCUGGACACAAUCGAAGUAUAUAUGAUACCCGGUGAAUAGCCGACGGGCAUUACAUUUAAUAAAUACGUCUCCGUUACGGUGUAGAUUAUUCAGUAUUAUGGCGCACUACGGAUAAUCCUGCAUCGUCGUUAUUAUUCGCUGUUAUACGAGGACACGAAACGCGUCAAUAAAGAAAUUGAUUGAAAAACGAAAGCUGUUCACAAUUUCAUAAUAAAAUGCAUAGAAAUUUUCUUUCGUUAUUUCCGUUAUAUUUCAUAUCUCCGUUUCUCUCUGCGCGUGGUGAUAAUUUUGUGACUCACUGUACAUUCACCCGGUAUAAAGGUUGAUUUACAUCGCGCUGAAUAUUUCAAUCGUUUCGCGAUCCCGCGCUAAUAAAUUUUUAAUCAAACCCGUGUCGGCUGCUGGCGUUUAAUUAUAGGUUCGAUGCGGAUAGCAGAGAAACGAUGGAUACCCAGUCGACGAGAUUUCCACCAAACGAAUCCGAUUCAAAGAAUCUUGGUGGCACCCUGUGAAUAUCGUCAUUCAUUAUCAGUCAAUCAACAGCGUUGAUUAACGCUGCUGACCGUUGCAUGCAUACAUUCACGAUACAAAUAAAGACUUCUGCAAUUUAAUUCCUUCUUUAUUCUCACUUUAGUUUCUUCUUUAUAUUCUCAAAAAUGUACUUUUUUUUUUUUAUGUAAAUAUAAACUAUUACUGAAAAAAUGCUUUCAUGGGUGAAUUCGGUCAAUUUGUCAAACGUUAAAUUGUCUAAUCUUCAACAGUCUCGGGACGAAAUGUGAACUUUGUAGAAAUUUUCUCGAGUUUUAGUCAAACAGCGAACGCGUUAAAAAUUGGACCAAACAAGGAGGAACGGCUGUCGAAGGAGCACGAUGCGGUAAUGUUGAUGCGGGCGCAUAUAUCCGCCGCGUUCGUUAAAGGAGCCUCCUACCUUUUUACU